rnacentral:rRNA from 1 species
UACGUAGGCAGCGAGCGUUGUUCGGAGUUACUGGGCGUAAAGGGCGCGUAGGCGGGCUGCCAAGUCUGGGGUGAAAUCCCACGGCUCAACCGUGGAACUGCCUCGGAUACUGGCGGCCUCGAGGGAGGUAGGGGCAUGCGGAACUAUGGGUGGAGCGGUGAAAUGCGUUGAUAUCGGAAGGAACGCCGGUGGCGAAAGCGCACGACUGGACCUCUUCUGACGCUGAGGGCGCGAAAG